GCCGGGCAUGGUGGCAUGUGCCUGUAGUCCCAGCUACUCGGGAGGCUGAGACAGGAGAAUUGCUUGAACCCAGGAGGCCCAGGUUGCAGUGAGCCGAGAUCAUGCCACUGCACUCCAGCCUGGGCAACAGAGUGAGACCCUGCCUCAA
rnacentral:SRP_RNA from 2 species